rnacentral:misc_RNA from 1 species
UGGCAGGAUCAACCAGGUAGCAUUCCACGUCGACUUUGGCAUCGCAUGGACGAAUCCAAAACAAAGCCAAUCGUCGUUCGCAUGUUAGCGUGUGACGCUAUUUUAGGGGCAAAAUAGAGACCGGAUGCCUCGUACCCACAGGGUACUCCAUGGCCAAGAGAACGAGCACCGUGCCAUUGAUCCGACGGCCCAAGAACAUUACUCAAGCCAUGGGCGUUGGGGCAUGACAUUUGCUUCGAAGUUCACCUCAUACCACGAACCCAAGGGCUCGCAACGAAAGGCGAAAGGGUCCGUUAAUCCGACGAAUUCCCACACUGUGGGUAUAGAACACAAGAAACCGGGCUUGGCCAAGACGUUUUUCCUGCUCUUGAACCAAUUACUGAAGAGGCAUGCCGGAUACAUUUUCGU